UAUAUAUAAUCAUAUCUGCUAUCCCAAAAAAAAUGUGAAUAUAAACCAAGAAAACAGCAAAAUAGAGAUGUUAAAGCUUGUGCAAAUGAUGAUAGCUUCCUCCUCCUCAUCUUCUGUCUUCCUCGCAAAUCAAAUUAAAUUCCAACAUCGCAGAUUUUUCAUCAUCUCAUUAUCAACCACAACUAAUUUCCCAAAAUCUAAUCUAUCUACUUCCAAAACUCACCGUUUUAGACCGUUCCGAAUUAUGUCCACUACUAGGAGCGACUCAAAUUUAAGUGCUUCCUCUUCUUCAGAUUCUGCAAUUUCUUCGGGAAGUUUUCGUAAAGUCAAUUUCUGUCAGUGGUGUGGUGGCCCAACCAAGCAUGAGGUACCUGAUGGGGACGAGAAGAUGAGAUCAGUUUGCACCUCAUGUGGAAAAAUUGCCUAUCAGAAUCCUAAAAUGGUUGUGGGUUGCCUCAUUGAGCAUGAGAACAAGAUCUUACUUUGCAAGCGGAACAUUCAACCUUCUCAUGGUCGGUGGACUCUUCCUGCUGGUUUCAUGGAAAUGGGUGAGUCUGCUGCAGAAGGUGCUAUAAGGGAAACCCAAGAAGAAGCGGGUGCUGAAGUUGAGGUUCUGUCACCAUUUGCUCAAUUAGACAUUCCCCUUAUUGGUCAAACCUACAUUAUAUUUUUGGCCAAGCUGAAGAAGCCACACUUCUCACCUGGUCCCGAAUCGAUUGAGUGCCGACUUUUUGAACUUGAUGAAAUACCUUUUGAUUCUCUGGCUUUUUCAUCAAUGCUUGUUACUCUAAAACUGUACAUAGAAGAUAUGAAAGAUGGUAAACCCAAGUUCCACUAUGGUACUAUCAACAAAAGGAAUGCUGGACACUUACAUACUGGUGAAUAAUACCUGGAACCAGCCCUUCUGAUAUACAUGCCUUCUCUCUUGACUAUCAUCUACAGUCAUGAUAUUAAGUGUGACAGCAGGGUUUUGAUACCUUGGCUAAGUGAAGCUGGAAACAGCUCAAUGAUGCAUUUAACUGGACAAAUAUUUUUUCUCACACGGAGCCCUCGUGUCCUCUUUGUCUUGUGAUCCCUUUUUCUUCAUAGGGCAGUCUGCAGUUGGAAAUAUGAGCUAGAAAGAACAUAUGUCAACUUGUUCCAGACACAAUCAUGAUGAUUUCAUAGCAACAGAGGCUGAUGUUUGCUGCAGAUUGCCAUUUCUUUUGGAGAGAUUACCGGGCAGCAACUCUGACGUUCUGAUUGAUUGAUCGAUUUGGUGUGAAUCUUUAAAUUCUCUCAUCAAGGGAUUUCUCGAAGUUCUUUCUACUGUUUGUGAUUCUGGUAGAUGAAUAGAAUUUAGAUGGGUGUUCGUUGGGGAACACCAACUCAUUCUCAAUAUGAAUUCAUCUAUAGAAAUGAUACCACAAUCUUGUACUGUUGUACAUGUAAUAUAUAUUUGUCAUCAAUGUCGAGGAGAUUUUGGUGAUAUGAAUAUGUUAUCUAAGUAGAUUGGUACC